UUUAAAAGUCAAAAUGCAAAUGCUUUUUUUUUUUCCCCUUCUCAUCUCAAGGCCAGCUCAGACAACAGACAUUUGUUUAGAGAGAAGAGACUGGACUUUUGGUGAAAGAAAAGACAACUACAAAACAUCACCUGGUCAAAGAAAGCGUGGAGAAAAUCAAGUACAGAGCACAAGUCCAUCAGGAAAGCUUACAAGUAUGAGGCAUGAGGAACAGGAGAGCAUUUUAUUUUUCUAAAGCUAAGCAAGUAGCUAUUAAAUCUCCAACUUCUCUGAAAUAACAUGCACAGAAGAUUAACAGAAUUCAUUUGUCUAUGGAUGAAGAGGGCAGCAGCACCAUGUUCCUGCAAACACAGCUGUGACAUUCAGCACAGACACUCAACACUUCAGUGCUGGCAUUAAAAACCCACCAGGACCUGCAAUAGACUGAGUGAAACAACGCUGCUUUGAAAGCCACGGUGCCCCGGUGAUCUGCGACAAGUUUGGACAAAGCACAGGCCAAAAACCUUCACCCAGGAACACUGCAAUGUUUUUGCAACCAAGGAAACCCUGCACCCUUCAGUACAUAACUGCAGCAGCAGAAGGGAACAUUAAACAGAGCUGGAAGAAAAAGACAGAGAGGCCACUUGUUUCCUAAGCCCAGCGAUGCAUACUACCUUUUACUACCCUCAUUUCCUUGGACACACAACCCACACCCUCAUCCAAAACAGGUUUUUUAUAUUCUUCUCCUAAAGGAACACUAAUGCUAGGUUACAGAAGACUGUCAAUAUACUUUAAAAGAACCCACAGCCCUAACAUUCAGGGAAAUACUGGAUCUCCUGUACAAUUAUACCUACAAAGUCUGUACACACAGUGACUGGUCUUAGCUGUACAAAUUACAUUCUAAUGCAACUUGCAAACAGUUGGCCUGCAGGCUGACAUACAAUUUAAAAUGACAUGUCCACCUUCAAAACGUGAGUAAUUAAAAAUAUCAGACAGCAAGAUCUCCCAGGCUGCACAGAGACAGACUAGAGCCCAUCCCAAAUGCAUGCUGGCAUCCUUUGAGCUGUUAAUAUGGGCAAAAGCAACAACUUCACCUCAUGCCUGUACAAAAAUGCAACUUAAGCAGCUGCAGCUACGAAAAUAUUGAAAUAAGCAAAUGAAAUAGAGUGCUGUAUGUAAUUUGGGAGACUGAGAUGUUACUAGCCAUGUUAGGUAUAAAUAGCUCAGGAAAAGCAGGGGAAUGAGAGUAUUGGGCAUCACCUGGAAUCCAGAAAGUGGCUGUACAGCGUGGCAGAGAGAAAGAAGCCAUCAUCACUUAGUGAGAAUUUCAGAGUGUUUUGCAAGACUUUGGGAACAGUUUUCACUGUCCUCAGCUCUAACUGCAUACUCCAAAGGACUCUCAAGCCCAGAAGUGUCAUCCCAGCAAGGCAGCUACUGGGGGCAAUACUCAGAAUCCACCGUGGCCUCUGAGCUGGAGUCUGCAGAAUUGCAACACCCUCAGCUCUAUCUCCACUUCUAAAGAUGUCAUGAAGUCUGUGGCCAAUCACUCAAAAUAUGCCCUCUUUUUGAUUCAAUUACUGUAAGUGUGAAUCAGAUAAGCAGAUUUAUCCCCUGCAGCCUUUUUCCUAUAACUCAUGCUGUAAACAGGUACAUAGAUGAAUCGUUUCCACACGUAUUUGCUGUUCUCAUUUGAAAGCAGAAAUAUAGGCUUCACAGAUUAACAUUCCAGUUUCAGCAAGUACAAGAUUAGUUAGACAAUUUUAAUGUUUUUGUUGAUUUCUUUGAUUUUAUUUUUAAUCAAACACCCAGAAACUAAACAAAGUAGAAGACUCACUGGUAGUUUUCCAUAAGCCUAGGAAACUUGAACAAUUUUAUAAAGAAGCCAGCACUUUAAGAACAGUUAAUAAUACACAGCUUGAUACCCUAUCCUUCAAAAACCAAAUCAUUUUGGAAUUCCCACUAAUAAAAUUUAAAAAAGGACAUACUCUCUCCUUUCUCAGUAUUUUUUAACCAUAAGCAACCUUAGGCAGACAAGACAAAGUCCUAAAUCUAGAAGUUAGCAAAUCACAUUCCUGUAGUAGCUCAGUUGGCACAUGCUGAGCACAUAUAGCCCAAAUAUUUU